GGGCACAUAGCUCAGUUGGUAGAGCAGCUGACUCUUAAUCAGCGGGUCGUAGGUUCGAUCCCUACUGUGCCCACCA
rnacentral:tRNA from 17 species